CAGGUGGAGCGAUCUGUCGCCCGAAAGGGAGGAAAGUCCGGACAGGACAGGGCAUCCCGCUGCGGAAAGCGCAGGCAGGGGCAACCUUACGCCAGCCGUAACAGAAAACAACCGCCCGCCCGGAUCCGCCGGUUCCGGCGGAUGACAAAACGGGACGGGCAAGGGUGAAAACGCGGGGCAAGAGCCCACGACGUCCGUCAGCGAUGCCGGACGGGUACGGCACCGGGACCUGCAAGACCAAAUAUACUGGCAGACGAGGGCGGCCCGCCCGAUGCCAGGGGGUAGGUUGCGAAGAUAAAUGACAGAGAAUCAGUGAACAGAAACCGGCUUACGGCUCCACCUUUUCU
rnacentral:RNase_P_RNA from 1 species